rnacentral:lncRNA from 1 species
AGCUUGCGCUGGUAACCACCUGUGCCUAGGUGAUGGUGGUACAUGUUCCUUUUUGCAAGCUCGGAUUUAGAUUCGCUCAAAGCUUUGAACUCCUCGGUACUCCUCUGCUCUAAAAACACCGCCCAUUGACCAGUAGUGAUUUUAUACCUUUUUGUCGGGUCCAACCCUUUCUUUGCCCACUUAGAAUUCAACUCGGACUUGUAAUUCCUAAACAUGAUUCCCCUCUGCUUCAAUGUGUACUCCUUUACUAGGUCUUCUGAACCCUGAGGUAAAACAAACCUUAUAAGCAGCUUGUCCCACAUUCUUGUGAUUUCAUUUUGGUCCACUUUUGCCCACUCCCUGACUGUGAUGUCAAGAUGGUCCCUAACUAAGAAUCCAAGUGCGUUACGCCACUUAGGUAAGGCCUCUGGAGGAGCUAGGGGUUGUCCUGUCGGGCUCACAUCUGUAAUUCUAAAUGUGACUUUUGGAAACUGAUUCAAUCCUCUGUCACCUCGUUUCCUUUUUCUAUCAUCAGUCUUCUCGGUGGUCUUCUCGGUGGUUGUCUCCGUCGUCGGUUCGGGUGCACCUUCAUGUGUGAAUUUUUCCUCGGAUAGGAUCUCUUUCAGCUCAUGAAACUGAGAUAACACCUCCUGUUCAUGUUAAAAGUUAAACACAUAAAUCAUUCUUGUACAUAUACUGAGGGACAUAAAAGUUAGAAAGAUUUAAUUAUGGAUGAGUAAUUCAUCACCUCAUCUACUUCUGGAAUGUAAUCUGGGUCACGUUCUAAUUCACAACGAGCGUUCCUCUCUAUGCGAGGAUCUGGAAUGUCGCUAGGGGAGGUCUCGUACGAAGGACUUGAUUCACGUUCUUUUGCAUUAUCUGUGUGGUCCGAUCCUUGCGCUUGCUCGGUGCUGUGUGAUACGUGCACCUUCUCUGUGUGGUCCGAACCUUUUGCCGGUGCUUGGUCGAUGCCGUCAGACCCUGACGCUUGGUUUGGGGUU